CGGGCUGUGUAUCCCGUCAGCUAACGGCGAGUGAAGCGGCAAAAGCUCAAAUUUGAAAUCCUUCGGGAGUUGUAAUUUGUAGGUUGGGAGACCCCGCGGCUAGUGGCACCAAGUCCCUUGGAACAGGGCGCCUUAGAGGGUGAGAGCCCCGUAGGUACCACAACACCGUCUUGUGUCUCCUCUCCAAAGAGUCGAGUUGUUUGGGAAUGCAGCUCAAAGUGGGUGGUAAAUUCCAUCUAAAGCUAAAUACCGGCGAGAGACCGAUAGCGAACAAGUACAGUGAUGGAAAGAUGAAAAGCACUUUGAAAAGAGAGUGAAACAGUACGUGAAAUUGUUGAAAGGGAAGGGCUUGCAAGCAGACACGGCCUUCGUGCCGGGCCAGCAUCGGUUGCUAGGGGUGGAUAAGGAACAAGGAAUGUAGCUCCUCGGAGUAUUAUAGCCUUGCGCGAUACACCCACUGGCGACCGAGGCCUGCGGUAUUCUUUACCUAGGAUGCUGGCGUAAUGGUUGCAAGCCGCCCGUCUUGAAACACGGACCCAAUGCAA
rnacentral:rRNA from 1 species